rnacentral:rRNA from 1 species
GACGAACGCUGGCGGCGUGCCUAAUACAUGCAAGUUGAGCGCUGAAGGUUGGUACUUGUACCAACUGGAUGAGCAGCGAACGGGUGAGUAACGCGUGGGGAAUCUGCCUUUGAGCGGGGGACAACAUUUGGAAACGAAUGCUAAUACCGCAUAAAAACUUUAAACACAAGAUUUAAGUUUGAAAGAUGCAAUUGCAUCACUCAAAGAUGAUCCCGCGUUGUAUUAGCUAGUUGGUGAGGUAAAGGCUCACCAAGGCGAUGAUACAUAGCCGACCUGAGAGGGUGAUCGGCCACAUUGGGACUGAGACACGGCCCAAACUCCUACGGGAGGCAGCAGUAGGGAAUCUUCGGCAAUGGACGAAAGGCUGACCGAGCAACGCCGCGUGAGUGAAGAAGGUUUUCGGAUCGUAAAACUCGGUUGGUAGAGAAGAACGUUGGUGAGAGUGGAAAGCUCAUCAAGUGACGGUAACUACCCAGAAAGGGACGGCUAACUACGUG